GACGAACGCUGGCGGCGUGCCUAAUACAUGCAAGUCGAGCGGGAUCCUUCGGGGUCCAGCGGCGGACGGGUGAGUAACACGUGGGCAACCUGCCUGUAAGACUGGGAUAACUGCCGGAAACGGCGGCUAAGACCGGAUAGAAUAUCUUGGGGCAUCCCGGGGUAUGGAAAUGCGGGGCAACCUGCAGCUUACGGAUGGGCCUGCGGCGCAUUAGCUUGUUGGUGGGGUAACGGCCUACCAAGGCGACGAUGCGUAGCCGACCUGAGAGGGUGACCGGCCACACUGGGACUGAGACACGGCCCAGACUCCUACGGGAGGCAGCAGUAGGGAAUCUUCGGCAAUGGACGGAAGUCUGACCGAGCAACGCCGCGUGAGUGAAGAAGGCUUUCGGGUCGUAAAACUCUGUUGCCAAGGAAGAACGGCGUGUGGAGUAACUGCCAUGCGUUUGACGGUACUUGAGAAGAAAGCCCCGGCUAACUACGUGCCAGCCGCCGCCGUAACAC
rnacentral:rRNA from 1 species